rnacentral:lncRNA from 10 species
GAAAUAACGAUAGUACCUGCCCCUAGAGCUGGUGAGGACCCGUUCCUGCCUCCCACAGACACCUAUUAAGUGCCUCCAGUUUUAGGAACUGGGUAUAGAUAUGGCUGGGAACAAAAUGGAAGAAAACAAAAACAAAAAUCCCUGCCCUCAUGGUGCUGACUCUCCUGUGGCAGAGACGGAGAAGAUGAACAGGGAUUUUAUACCAGGCGUCAGAAGGGAACCAGUGCUAAAGAAAAUGAAAACACCAGGCCGGGAGAGGCAGCUGGCAUGCGGGCCGUGGUGGUUUUACGUGACCUGGCCCAGGAGGAGCACAUGGGAGCCGGGACCUUCCCAACAAUCCUUGCCGUUGGCUCCACAAACCUCAGCCAGUCCUGCAACCUGGGAUGCCUUUUCCACCAGGAUGCCUGCUACUGUCACUGUUGUCAUUAGAUAAUUAAUGAACUAUAAUUAGAAAUCAUAUCAAUAAAAUUUCACAGUCUAAGGCUGUUGAAAUAGGUACCAUCAUUAUCCUCAUUUUAGAGCUAAGGACAGUUUUGGGCGGUAGGGGAGGUGCGGGUGUCACUGCCUGAGGUCACACCGUAGCAGGACUGGGAUUCAAACCCCCAGACCUCCGGUUCCAGAGGCCAAGCUUUUGUCAAAGACAUGCAGUGAAACAGGCUUCUCAGAGGUUCCAGCCAGUCUUCAUUGCAAAACAAGAGGGAAAACCGAAGCCAGGACAGGCUCGGGGACCUGGCCCUGCCCCUGCCCCUGCCCCCAGUGCCUAGAGACCCCAAAGCAGCCUCUGCUGAGAGGCCCUUCCCAGGAUCUCCCACAGGCCAGGGCUCUGGGCCCUGCAGGAAGUGGCCAGGGCUGGGACAGGCCUGCUGCUUUGAUCAGCUUUACGAGCCAGGGCUGUUUACGGAGUCUCAGGCCCCCAGCCCCC